rnacentral:rRNA from 1 species
CCUACGGGGGGCAGCAGUGAGGAAUAUUGGUCAAUGGACGAGAGUCUGAACCAGCCAAGUAGCGUGAAGGAUGACUGCCCUAUGGGUUGUAAACUUCUUUUAUAUGGGAGUAAAAUGUUCCACGUGUGUGAUUUUGUAUGUACCAUAUGAAUAAGGAUCGGCUAACUCCGUGCCAGCAGCCGCGGUAAUACGGAGGAUCCGAGCGUUAUCCGGAUUUAUUGGGUUUAAAGGGAGCGUAGGUGGAUUGUUAAGUCAGUUGUGAAAGUUUGCGGCUCAACCGUAAAAUUGCAGUUGAAACUGGCAGUCUUGAGUACAGUAGAGGUGAGCGGAAUUCGUGGUGUAGCGGUGAAAUGCUUAGAUAUCACGAAGAACUCCGAUUGCGAAGGCAGUUCACUGGACUGCAACUGACACUGAGGCUCGAAAGUGUGGGUAUCAAACAGGAUUAGAUACCCCGGUAGUC